rnacentral:rRNA from 1 species
UUAAUUCUAGGUAUGUUUUCCAACACACCUACUAUGUUACGACUUAUCUCACGUUGAAAGUGAGAGCGACGGGCGAUGUGUACAUAUUUUAGAGCCGAUAUCAGAGUGCCAUAUUAAAACAACCUUACUAUUAAAUCCACCUUCUAAAUAAAGAUCUCUCUAUUUAUUCGUUUUAACAUAUUAUAAUGUAACCCAUUACCUGCUCUCCUAUAAGCUGCACCUUGACCUAAUAUAUUAAUUCAAACUAUUAAAACAGAUCUUUAUAGAACUAUCUAAUAAUGGCGGUAUACAAACUGGACUACAAAGAAAAGUAAGAUUAUUCGGGGAAUAUCGUUUACGGAACAGGUUCCUCUAACAGGACUAAAAUACCGCCAAAUUCUUUAAGUUUAAAGAAUAUAACUGUUUACUACUCAAAUCACUAACUUUAAUUAAAGUAUAGUAGGGUAUCUAAUCUUAAUUUAUACCUAAAACUUAAUAGCUUCAAAAUAAUUUUACAUAACACCUAAUUACACUUGAGUAACCAAAUUUCACCUCUCACUCUCAUAAAAAAACACAACAUAAAAAUAAACUCUAACUAUGAACUUACAAAUCCCCACUUACCCUAUCAGUCUAACCGCGGCUGCUGGCACAAAUUUAGACUGAAUUUGAGAUAUUUCCACCAAGUAUUUACAAAUCCAUAUCUCACAUUUCAAUUCCAAAAUCCGUGAAAUCUAAAAUAUUAAUUUUAAUAUCACCAAAUAACUAACAUGUGCGUCGACCAAAUAGCAGACAAAGAGCAAGAAUCAAACUAUAAAAAAUAAA